GACAGAGGGUGCAAACGUUGCUCGGAAUUACUGGGCGAAAGGGCGUGUAGGCGGGAAGGCAAGUCGGGCGUGAAAGCCCCAGGCUCAACCUGGGAACUGCACUCGAAACUGCCUUUCUUGAGUGCCGGAGAGGAAAGCGGAAUUCCUGGUGUAGAGGUGAAAUUCGUAGAUAGUCGAGGAGGAACACCAGUGGCGAAGGCGGCUUUCU
rnacentral:rRNA from 1 species